UUGUGCAAAAUGUACCAGCUGUAAAUGUCUUGUGUCUAAUCAGGUGGACUGUUUCAUCCUCUGAGUUCGGGUCCUCUACCAGAAGCCUGGGAGCCGCAGUAUCUGGCACAUUUCUGGACUGAGGUGUCUGAUGUUGUUCCUGGGAUCUGUUUUAGACACUGCUCCAGUUUGGGUGUGACUGCCUCGAGGGCCCCUGCGCUCCUCGGCCCUGUAGACGCAGGGUGAAUCCUCCCAACCGAGAGUACCGGACGCCAGCUGACGGUGUAGACCCGCCGAUUUCUGCCAGGAUCGGUUUGGUAAAUGCCAGGUCGCUGACAAAUAAAACUUUCGUCAUUAGGGAUUU